rnacentral:rRNA from 1 species
UGGGGAAUAUUGGGCAAUGGGCGCAAGCCUGACCCAGCAACGCCGCGUGAAGGAAGAAGGCUUUCGGGUUGUAAACUUCUUUUCUCGAGGGACGAAGAAGUGACGUAC